UCCGAGACGACGUUUUGAUUAAAAAUUAUUUUCGCUCACGUACUUUUUUUCUUAUUCUCACUAUACGGCGUACGUUAUGCCAUCGCGAAAGACUUGUUAAUUUUUAAUGUCUCACACGGAUAAAAUCUAAAACUAUUUUGGAAUGGUGAUUCUCCGAUACCAGAAUCUAACCCUACAGAAUUAUCUAUGUUUAAAACGUUCUUAUAAACAAAUUUCCAUCCGAAUCAACAGUUGUUUCACUGACGGACGACGACAUUGUAAACAAUAUCGGCCGACUUUUGUCGACAAAGGUCAGUUCCAGUUGUAUCAAAGUUGAGAAAUAAUAUUCGUUUGAACGGGAACACGCGAUCAGUAACGAGCAUACCUGCAGUUGUAGCUUUGAGUGGAAACAGUCUGAAAACGUCGCAUAUCCACGCCGAGUGAACAUACAAAAUUCAACCAAUUUAUUAUUAUAAUUAACGUUAGUAAAUUCAUUAUUAUUUACUUGGUAUGAUAUCGAAUGUCGCGGUCUUGAACAAUACCUUAUAUACGGAUAGACUUUUACUGUCGUGUAUAAAAUAAUAACGCCGAGUAGUAUACGUCUACCUCAUCAUCUACCUUAUAUACUUAAGAAAAAAUAUAAUUUAUACAAGGUGAUCAAUUUAUGUAGUAUUCAGAAUAGUGGAGCACUAUUUAAAAGUUGCGCGUCAUUCCGGCACACAAAUGAUGCUCUACUACUUUUCCCCGACAAAAACUUAAAAGUGGAAUAACUCAUCAACGGAUUGACGGAAAUCAAAAAUGUCAACAAAAAGCAAAAGAUUACUAUUUUAAAAUUAUAAGUAGGUAGUGGUUUCACCUCCAAAAAUAAGUAUGAUAAAAAAUAACAUAAAUGUCAAGUUAUAGAGCUAAUUAUUUCUUAAAUAUUAUAUAAAAUAAAUUCUAAAAAAAGUUAAAAUGUACUGAGAUAAUGAAAGUACCCACUUAAAUAGAUCACCUUGUAUAUGUCUAUUAAAAACUUAAAAAUGAAAACCCGUCUAUGGAAAAAAUUAAAACUAGUUCCUAUCUUUUUUUUUUUUAAAUAACAUAAAUACAACAUUGAGACGUAAGCGGAUAUCAUUUCAAUCAUACAAUAAUCAUAUUUAUAUCAUUAUUAUAGGUACUUCAUAUUAUAAAAACUAAUUUAACAAAAAGAGGACGUUUUAGAAUCUAAUUGCAAAUAUUAAUUUAAUAGAUAUAUUACGUAUGAUUUGUUUUUUUUUAUCUGUUAACAACUUUUCUACAAGAAGUCUUGAUCAAUCAAAAAAUAAUGAAAAAUCUUUUUUGUAGCUAUUUGGUGUAGUUUGUUUCUACAAUUUUUUACCAAUAGUUUUCGUAAUGAUUGGAAAAAACGAACAAAUUUACGUUGGUAAAAAUUUCAAAAUUGUAGAUUUGUUCAAUUUUAUUUUUCUAUCAAAAAUCUUGCUCCGAAUUUCAAAAAACAUCUAUUUUAAAAGAAAAUUUUGUCUAGUAGAUGCUUAAGAAGAUCUUUUUUUGCUUUUUUUAAAUUUUAUUAAUAUUUGAUAAAAACUGGAGAACAACUAGGGAAAACCGGACAUUUUUCGCAUGUAGGUGAGAAGUUGGAAAGGUAGAGGGGAAAUUGAAUGUAUACGUAAUAUUUGAAAUUUGAAAAUAAUACAUUUUGUACAUUUUUCCUUUUUUCCUAUGUUUUUUCCCAUUUAUAAUGAAAAAAAAAAAAUAAAUAAACACCACUGUAAAACCAAUAAAUUCCUUACUCCGCUCAGAAUCUAAAAAAGAAAAACUAACAGCAUUAACGGUUUUUUUUUUUAAUUUGUUUGUUUUAUUUUAUUUUAUACUCAUAUACGGGAUUAAAUUUAAGUAAAUGAGUUUAAUUAAAUACAAUAUAAGUUAAAAUUGGUGGAGAACAAUAAAAUUAGUAACAAUUAUAUUUAUAAAUUAUAAGUUAUCACAGUAAACUAUAAACAAUGAAAAACUAUAACUGUGUAUAGGAGGAAAUAGUAAUUAAGAGUACAAAUCUAAGAAGGUAGGGUCGGUAUAGGCAUACAUCCUUAAGCAUCUAAGUGGUUUGCUUAGUUUUAAUUCAACUAAAAAUAAUCGUAGAGACCUGAAAUGUCUUCGAACUAUUUAUAGAUAUUUUAAAAUUUUGAAUUGAGAUAUUUCACGUUAAGCGACACAAAAUGAUUCGAAAAAGUUGCAGUGAAAGUUAAAGUGGUGAUGUAAAGGGAAUAAUUUGAGCGGUUGUAUGUUAGAGCACCGGUGGUAGCGGCUGCUACGUGUGUAAGUGUGGAUUGUGGGGUAGGUAUACAAGGUGUUUCUUUUAUCGUAAAACGGUAGAACACUCUUUUUUUUAAUUAACCAUCAUUUGUAGUGACACUAUUAUCUCCUAUAUACAGUGUGAUUCUUUUAUCAUAAUCCAGUUAUUUUCUGGGAGUAUUUUAAGUGAAUUCUAGAUCUAUAUUUUUCAAUCAUUAAAUAAUUGUUUAAGCUUUAAUUUAACACUAUUUUCAAUUGUUUAUCUCUACUCAUUAAACCUGAAAUAACUGUUUAUAAAAUUUGGAACUCAAAAGUGUGGUAUAAAUAUGGUUUACCUAUAGUUUAACAAAUAUCACAGUUACUGUAUAAAUUAGGAAGUAAAUGUUAAAAUAAGUAAGUAUAAAUAAUAGUUAUACUGAUACAAAUCGUAAUAAAUAACAUAAUUAAAUAUACAGGCAUGUUAGCAAGAUGACACUGCACAGAAAAUAUGGCCGCCACGGGCGUACAUAAUAGAAAAAAUAAUAUUAUCAUCGAUUUUUUACAUCGUUAUCGUUUAAUAUUAAAGUAAUAAUCGAGGUGAAUUAAUCCUCAUUGGUAAUUAUAAUACGAUACCACAUCUUGACAGUUGUCAAAUUGAUAUCAGAUGUAAUAUGGACGAUACUAGCAUAAGUGAUAGUAGUGAUAAUGUAAUUUGGUUAUCUUGCCACGCCUGUGUAUUAUUUAGCCAUCACAAAUACGCUUUAAUUUCAAAAUUAAUGUCAUGAUAUGAAAUAACUUCCAUAUUUUGCUAAAAACGUAUUAUACCUAAACUAACUUUGAAUAAUAACUGAUAAUUGAAUAACUAAUUAAUAGAACACGGGUCAAAAGGUGGUCGAUAAGAUAUCUCGAAAGUAUUAACUUUUAUUGGAAUUAUUUUUUUGUAUCUUAUCGAGGAUUGAUCAUCCUGUCAUCCUGUAAUCUUGAAAUUGUUUUGUUGUUAGUAAUAAUAUUCAUCACGAGUCACGACCCAAUAGGAAAAAAAAUCAUACUAUAUUAUAAAAAUUAUACCUCAUAUUAAUAAUAUUAUUAUCUCCUAAAGUAUAAAAAAAAGACUAAAUGAAACUCAAGAUAUACUAAAAUACAAAAAAUAUAAUUUUAAAACAAUUUAUCUUUGAAUUCUGUAAUCUACAAAUCAACUAAAUUUGUUAUCUCUUUGAGCUGCUUAAGCCAAUAAACAUAUAACAUCCAUUUAAUCUUAAAAAUUCGCUCUAUAUUUAUAAGCAUCAAUUGUAAACAAAUUUAUUUAUUGUUUAAUAUUAAUUGGGCUAAUUUUAUCGUGGUUUUUAUUUAUAGAACAAUAAAUAUACGUAAACAUCUAGAAGAAAAUAGAAGAAAAAAAAAUCUAUUAAAAUGUCAAAAAAAGGUGUUUUCAGACAAAUAUAUGUCACGGUAGUUGGUAAGAUAUAAAAAUACUACACAAAAGAAUUAUGAUUAAUAUUUUUUAUUGCAGUACCUAGUAAAUAAUAUAUUAAUUAAUUUAAAUUUUUACAGCUACGUUAACAAUAUUCAUAAGUGGCAUGUGGUUAGGAUGGCCUAGUUCAGUCGUCGAGAAGGCUAUGAAACACGAGAUAGAUAUAAAUGUAACCAUGGACGAACUGUCAUGGAUCGUGGCCAUGAUGGAUUUGGGUAAUAUGAUCAGUCCUCUGUUCGCUGGAUAUUUAAUGGACAAGUUGGGUAGGAAACUCAGCACCUUCAUCCUCGGGCCCCUGUUCAUAAUCAGCUGGUUACUGACGUUGUAUGUGCCCACCACUUGGGCUUUGUGCACGGCCAGACUGAUGGCCGGCAUGGGCAAAGGCAUAUCUUACACAGUGGUGCCGGUAUUCUUGGGUGAAAUAGCCGGAGUCAAGAUCCGCGGGGCGCUGAGUAGUACGUUUUGCAUUCAACUCCACUUCGGAUUUCUGUUGGAAGCGGUGGUCGGGCCAUUGGUCAAGUACCGGACUCUGAACACAAUGUCCGCUGUCUUCCCCGUGGUGUUUACCGUGUUGGCUUUCUGGAUUCCCGAAUCUCCGUAUUAUCUGUUGAAGAAAAACCGACGAGUCGAAGCGGCCCGGUGUCUGCAAUGGUACAGGUGCGAACAGGACGAUGUCAAGUUAACAGACGAGCUACGGCAGAUGGAAGUGAACGUUGAGAGAGAAAUGGAAAACCAGUCAACGUUCCGCGAAGUGUUCACCAGUCCCAAGGAUCGGAAAGCACUUGGGAUCGUGGUGGUUGCGUGCAUCACUCAGCGUGCUGGCGGCAUCAGUUGUAUACUCGCGUUUUCCGCCCUAAUAUUACCUGAGCCGGCCCCCGUCAUUCCCCGGUUCGAGCACAUGAUCGUUUUUGCCACUGCCAUAGUAGUUGUGAACAUUAUGUGCGCGACUCUCGUGGACAAAGUCGGCCGGAAACCUCUGCUAAUCACUUCCCAAGUGGGCACAGGCAUUAUCACCAGCGUGUUCGCGAUCUAUUUCUACACGGGCACGUCUUUGCGUUUCGUAUGGCUUCCGUACGCGUUAUUUAUAUCUUUCUCCGUAAUGUUCGCUGUUGGUGUGGGGUUUAUACCUGUCAUCUAUCUAGGUGAAAUGUUUUCGGUCAACAUCCGGUCGCAUUGUUCGUCUAUCGCUUCUAUUGCGUUGGCCUCCAGUUCAUUCGCUACUAAUAAAAUCUUCCUGUUCGUCUCCCGGACGUACGGCAUCCAUGUCAUGUUCUGCCUUUUUACCGUCGUUAAUUUCUUGGGUGCCGCGUACUCGUGUAAGUAUGCUAUUGAGACAAAGGGAAAAACUCUCCUGGAAAUCCAACAGAUCCUCGAGAAAAAAGUUAUAAAGCAUCAACCAAAUACGACAUAAUCUGAAUCUGAAUAAUACAUUGGUUUGUCGUUAAAAUGAAGUUUUACCGGAAGCAUCCCUGUAACUCUUGUUCAAAAUAAAUUCUUUACGAAAAGUAGAUAAUGUAAUUAAAAUCAAUAAAGUAUAAUAUAAGAUGUGCAUUUUUAUACAAUUAUUAUUUUAUUGCGUGCAUGGUACAUUUAUAAUUUCGAUUGUUUCUGAUAUAUUUCAAUAAACUGCAU